CUUGCUAGGUGGAUUAGUGGCGCACGGGUGAGUAAUAUAUAGAUAACGUGCCUCUUAGUCUGGGAUAGCCAUUGGAAACGAUGAUUAAUACUAGAUAUUCCUUCUAACAAUAAUGUUAGUCGGGAAAGUUUUUCGCUAAGAGAUCGGUCUAUAUCCCAUCAGCUAGUUGGUAGUGUAAGAGACUACCAAGGCAAUGACGGGUAGCGGGUUUGAGAGGAUGAUCCGCCACACUGGUACUGAGACACGGACCAGACUCCUACGGGAGGCAGCAGUGAGGAAUAUUGCACAAUGGAGGAAACUCUGAUGCAGCAACGCCGCGUGGAGGAUGACGCAUUUCGGUGUGUAAACUCCUUUUAUAUGUCAAGAAAAUGACGGUAGCAUAUGAAUAAGCACCGGCUAACUCCGUGCCAGCAGCCGCGGUAAUACGGAGGGUGCAAGCGUUAUUCGGAAUCACUGGGCGUAAAGGACGCGUAGGCGGGAUGC
rnacentral:rRNA from 1 species